rnacentral:rRNA from 1 species
GACGAACGCUGGCGGCGUGCAUAACACAUGCAAGUCGAACGAAGCAUUUAAAGUGGAGACUUCGGUCAAAGCUUUUUAUGACUUAGUGGCGGACGGGUGAGUAACACGUGAGUAACCUGCCUCUCAGUGGGGAAUAACACACCGAAAGGUGUGCUAAUACCGCAUAAUGUAGUUUUACCGCAUGGCAGAACUACCAAAGAAAUUUAUCGCUGAGAGAUGGGCUCGCGUCCAAUUAGCUAGAUGGUGAGGUAACGGCUCACCAUGGCGACGAUUGGUAGCCGGACUGAGAGGUUGAACGGCCACAUUGGGACUGAGAUACGGCCCAGACUCCUACGGGAGGCAGCAGUGGGGAAUAUUGGGCAAUGGGGGGAAAUCCUGACCCAGCAACGCCGCGUGAAGGAAGAAGGCCUC